GCAGAGUAGCCAAGCCGGGAAGGGAUAAACGCUGAAGGCAUCUAAGCGUGAAGCCCCCCUCAAGAUGAGAUAUCCCAUAACGUCAAGUUAGUAAGACCCCUUGAAGACGACAAGGUAGAUAGGGCAGAGGUGGAAGCAUGGUAACAUGUGGAGCUGACUGUUACUAAUAGGUCGAGGGCAUGACCAG
rnacentral:rRNA from 1 species